UACAGAGGGUGCAAACGUUGUUCGGAAUUACUGGGCGUAAAGCGUGCGCAGGCGGUUGUGCAAGACAGAUGUGAAAUCCCCGGGUUUAACCUGGGAACUGCAUUUGUGACUGCACGGCUAGAGUGUGUCAGAGGGGGGUAGAAUUCCACGUGUAGCAGUGAAAUGCGUAGAGAUGUGGAGGAAUACCGAUGGCGAAGGCAGCCCCCUGGGUUAACACUGACGCUCAGGCACGAAAGCGUGGGGAGCAAACAGG
rnacentral:rRNA from 1 species